GAUGAACGCUAGCGGCAGGCUUAACACAUGCAAGUCGAGGGGUAUAGUUCUUCGGAAUUAGAGACCGGCGCACGGGUGCGUAACGCGUAUGCAAUCUGCCCUUUCACAGAGGGAUAGCCCAGAGAAAUUUGGAUUAAUACCUCAUAGUAUUAUAGAGUGGCAUCACUUUAUAAUUAAAGUCACAACGGUGAAAGAUGAGC
rnacentral:rRNA from 1 species